AUGAAAAACAUUUCAAUAGUCGCAUCCGCCGGUACUCCACACCGGGAAAAAAAUGCACUAGUAGAUUGGUGGGAUGUCUUUCCACCUAAGACCACCGCCACGACAACCGUCAGAGGGGUCGCCCAUGUCUCAACGCUGAUCUGCCCGCUGCCACCCCAUGCCGGGCGAGUUACACUACAAGGUCCACCAAACCAUUGGAGCCACUACCCUGGUGCUAGAUUCCGACUAGGAGUCGCCGCUGCACCCCCUUACUCAUUAGCGCCCGAUGUUGCCACUGGCACCACGAACCUCUCCUCCUACGAUGGUUGCAGCCCUCGCACCAUAUGGGAAAUUCUGCACUGA
rnacentral:rRNA from 1 species